GUGGGCCAGCUGUCUCUGGCUUGUCCCACACUGUGAACCCAGCUCCUGCUUCUGAGGUGCCUUCCCAGCCUGACACCACCUAGAGGGCCUCCAUGCAGACUCCUAGGAGUCACCGUGAAGGCCAGAACAAGGCUGUGCCAUUGUGCUGCCCACUGACCUGAGAGCACUCCCAGGAUAGAGCUGGAACUGCCUUGUGCCCAGUUCCUCCCUCAAGCCCCCCAUGCAACUAGGCCAGUCCACAAGGACAGGAGGAUGCCAAAGAUGACUUUGGAUUCCCGAUCCUUCCGCCUCCAUAUCCUGAGAGCUGGAACUGCAGACCUAGGCCAGUCUGCCUGGUGUGAUGUGGUGCCAUGGACAGAGCCCAGGACGUUGAUUCCCACCAUGACAUUGCUGUGUUUUUACAAGGACAAAGCCAAACAGCCCGAGAACCUGCCAACUGGAGGUUCUAGAACACUCUCUGCGUGGUCUUCCUGAGCAAGUCCUCCAGGUUGGAACCUCUGGCAGGAGCAGAGGCCAGGACUUGAACCCAGACCUGUCAUCGGUAGUGCUCCCAACUGGCGUCACCCCUUAACAGCUGGCCAGGUUCCAGGUCCCUUUCUCCUUCCAGCCUCUGUUUACCCAGCUUGCACAAUCAGCUCAUAAGUCUGCAAUUUUUUCUUUUUUACUCUGAAA
ensembl:processed_transcript Gm14488 predicted gene 14488